AGUGAACGCUGGCGGUAGGCCUAACACAUGCAAGUCGAACGGCAGCACAGUAAGAGCUUGCUCUUACGGGUGGCGAGUGGCGGACGGGUGAGGAAUACAUCAGAAUCUACUUUUUCGUGGGGGAUAACGUAGGGAAACUUACGCUAAUACCGCAUACGACCUACGGGUGAAAGCAGGGGAUCUUCGGACCUUGCGCGAUUGAAUGAGCCGAUGUCGGAUUAGCUAGUUGGCGGGGUAAAGGCCCACCAAGGCGACGAUCCGUAGCUGGUCUGAGAGGAUGAUCAGCCACACUGGAACUGAGACACGGUCCAGACUCCGACGGGAGGCAGCAGUGGGGAAUAUUGGACAAUGGGCGCAAGCCUGAUCCAGCCAUACCGCGUGGGUGAAGAAGGCCUUCGGGUUGUAAAGCCCUUUUGUUGGGAAAGAAAAGCAGCAGGUUAAUACCCCGCUGUUCUGACGGUACCCAAAGAAUAAGCACCGGCUAACUUCGU
rnacentral:rRNA from 1 species